rnacentral:rRNA from 1 species
UACGGAGGGUGCAAGCGUUAUCCGGAUUCAUUGGGUUUAAAGGGUGCGUAGGCGGUCUAAUAAGUCAGUGGUGAAAGCCUUCCGCUUAACGGGAGAACUGCCAUUGAUACUGUUAGACUUGAAUCUAGUUGAAGUGGGCGGAAUACAUCAUGUAGCGGUGAAAUGCAUAGAUAUGAUGUAGAACGCCGAUUGCGAAGGCAGCUCACUAAGUUAGUAUUGACGCUGAGGCACGAAAGCGUGGGGAGCGAACAGG